AUGUAUCGUACUACCCAGCCCUUUGACCCAGAGGGGGUUCUGGGUACUAUCAACUCCAUUGUCAUGGGAUUCAUGGGGAUGCAAGCGGGAAAAAUUCUCAUUUUUUACAGGAAAAAGGAUGUCAACGUCCUCUCCCGAUUCCUAGUAUGGGCCAUCCUCCUGGUAUGUACUGUAAAGCCUCCCACAUCUGUUUAGGAAUAUUACUGGCAUGUUUUAGUCUCUUUCUUCAUUACUUUGGGAUAAGUCAACACCACAGCCCAUGAUAUAUGUAAUCAUUUCCUUUCAAAUAAAAAUACCAAAGACCAAACAAGACUAAAACAAAUGCCUCUCCCCUGCAGUCUAUUGGUGGUUAUAUCUUAGUUUAUAAGGGAAGCCACAUGACGAUCUGGCACUAUAAAGAAAUGUAAGUCAUUUGGCGUUUAACUUUUUAGUCACUAGUUAGUCGUAACAGCUCAUUAGCAGUCUGUCUGUAGUAGGUAUGAGAUCUCUGUGUGUUAAAACAACACAACCAUGUCUGUUUCCGGGCAGACACAAGUAUCUUCUGUCUCAGGGGAUAGUCUCUGUCUCUCAUUGCUUGUGUGUCUCUCAUUGCUUGUGUGUCUCUCAUUGCUUGUGUGUCUCUCAUGUGUGAAUUCAGAAUUUACGAAUCCUGGAUAUUAGUUACAUUAAGCUCCGGCAUCAUGGCAAAGAGCUCAUGUUCUCCUCUCUGUUUACUAUGCUCUGUUGAAGUGUAUGGUUGUACCCUACCCUGAGAUUCAAUUUACAUUAGCAGAUCCUGGUUUUAUGCGACAGUAUAAACCAGUAUUCGUCACUACUGGUACUCAACAACUUCUGUCCCAGUCUAACCAUAAUAUUGUUAGCUAACAUCUGAUUAGAAAAAUAUACCAGUCAUCAAAAACCAAGAUAAGCUGGAUCCAUUGUUUGAGUGCUGAGCUGGAACAAAUUCCUAUACGCUUCGGUCCUCCAGGACCAGAAGUGAAGUACACCGGUGGUAUUGAUGUAAAGAUUAGUCAUUAUGAAACCAUUGUGAUUCUUACAUACAUUGACGGGUAAUGUUACUGUUUUGGUGGGAUAGUGCUGUGUGUGGGUGGUCUCAAAAUAAGAAAGGGAUACAAGCUGGCCACUAUUUCAUUUGGGGGGGGGGGG
rnacentral:lncRNA from 1 species